rnacentral:rRNA from 1 species
GCAAACGCUGGCGGCGUGCCUAAUACAUGCAAGUCGAACGAGGAAGUACCUUCGGGUAUUGUACUAGUGGCGUACGGGUGAGUAACACGUGGAUAAUCUUCCCUCAGAUGGGGAAUAACCAAUCGAAAGAUUGGCUAAUACCGCAUAAGACCACAAGCUCUAUGGAGCAAGGGGUUAAAGGCUUCGGCCGUCUGAGGAUGAGUCUGCGUCCGAUUAGCUAGUUGGGAGGUAAAGCUCACCAAGGCGACGAUCGGUAGCUGGUCUGAGAGGAUGAUCAGCCACACUGGGACUGACACACGGCCCAGACUCCUACGGGAGGCAGCAGUAGGGAAUAUUGCACAAUGGACGAAAGUCUGAUGCAGCGACGCCGCGUGGAUGAUGAAGGCCCCUAGGGUUGUAAAGUCCUUUUAACGGGAAGAUAAAUGACGGUACCCGUAGAAUAAGCCCCGGCUAACUUCGUGCCAG